rnacentral:rRNA from 1 species
GAGUCGGGUUGUUUGAGAUUGCAGCCCAAAGUGGGUCGUAGACUCGAUCUAAGGCUAAAUAUCUGGUCAAUUCCGAUAGCGAACAAGUACAGUGAUGGAAAGAUGAAAAGAACUUUGGAGAGAGGGUUAAAAAGUGCGUGAAACCGCUUGAAGGCAAACGGACACAGGCGUUAAGUGCUUGCUGGGGAAUCAGCUGGAAUAACCUACCCGCUUGCGGCUGGGACCUAUUGGCCUUGGCCUUGUCCUGUCGGGCAACAUUUUCGGCGCAUUUCUCUGCGGCGACCAGUUGGAGACUGGGCUGGUCUGUGCUGCUGGUGUGUACUGCAACUCUUAGUUGUGGAACGGCAGUAGUUGGUGCGGACCUGGCCUGGUCAAGUGCAUGCUGUGUCGGCAGCAUUGCGGAGGCUGAUGGCUGGGAUGUUUGAUACUCGGUUGCUGACUUGUUUCAAGGUGGUGACUGGGUGUUGGCGUCUGGCUUGAAGGCUUCUGCUUCGCACUAUGACUGGGGUGACGUUCUGUGUCUGACCCGUCUUGAAACACGGACCACGGAGUCUAACGCUCAAGCGAGUUACCUGGCUGAAGGCCGGUAAAGCUGAAUGAAAG